UUUAACUGAGCGUUCAGUUACUUGACGUAGACCCGAAACCGGGCGACCUACCCAUGAGCAGGAUGAAGCGAAAGUAAAAUUUCGUGGAGGUCCGAACCCACGAGCGUUGAAAAGCUCGGGGAUGACUUGUGGGUAGCGGUGAAAUUCCAAUCGAGCCCGGAGAUAGCUGGUUCUCCCCGAAAUAGCUUUAGGGCUAGCCUCAAGGUGAGAGAUACGGAGGUAGAGCACUGAAUGUCCUAGGGGGUAUUGCACCUACCGAAGACUAUCAAACUCCGAAUGCCGUCAUCUUAUACUUGGGAGUCAGACUGUGGGUGAUAAGAUUCAUAGUCGAAAGGGCAACAGCCCAGAUCGUCAGCUAAGGUCCCUAAAUGUAAGUUAAGUGGUAAAGGAUGUGGGAUUGCACAGACAACCAGGAUGUUGGCUUAGAAGCAGCCACUCAUUCAAAGAGUGCGUAAUAGCUCACUGGUCGAGUGAUCCUGCGCCGAAGAUUUCCGGGGCUAAAACUUACUACCGAAGCUACGGCAUCAGUAAUGAUGGGUAGGGGAGCUUCCCAUACGGGUUGAAGCAUGACCG
rnacentral:rRNA from 1 species